GAAAUGCGAUAAGUAAUGUGAAUUGCAGAAUUCAGUGAAUCAUCGAAUCUUUGAACGCACAUUGCGCCCGCCAGUAUUCUGGCGGGCAUGCCUGUUCGAGCGUCAUUUCAACCAUCAAGCCCCCGGGCUUGUGUUGGGGACCUGCGGCUGCCGCAGGCCCCGAAAACCAGUGGCGGGCUCGCUGUCACACCGGGCGUAGUAGAUUUUUCGUCUCGCCCAGGGCGUGCUGCGGGUUCCGGCCGUUAAAAAGCCUCUCUUUUAACCCAAGGUUGACCUCGGUUCAGGUAGGAAGACCCGCUGAACUUAAGC
rnacentral:misc_RNA from 1 species